rnacentral:rRNA from 1 species
AUUGAACGCUGGCGGCAUGCCUUACACAUGCAAGUCGAACGGCAUCAUGAUCUAGCUUGCUAUCUUGCUGGCGAGUGGCGCACGUGUGAGUAAUACAUCGGACCUUGCUCUGUGGUUGGGGAUAAUUCGUCGAAAGAUUAGCUAAUACCGCAUACGACCUGAGGGUGAAAGUUGGGGACUGCAAGGCCUCAUGCUAUAGGCGCGGCCGAUGUCUGAUUAGCUAUUUGGUGAGGUAAAGGCUCACCAAGGCGACGAUCAGUAGCUGGUCUGAGAGGACGAUCAGCCACACUGGGACUGAGACACGGCCCAGACUCCUACGGGAGGCAGCAGUGGGGAAUUUUGGACAAUGGGCGAAAGCCUGAUGCAGCAAUGCCGCGUGUGUGAAGAAGGCCUUCGGGUUGUAAAGCACUUUUGUCCGGAAAGAAAUGGUGCUGGUGAAUACCUGGGGUCGAUGACGGUACCGGAAGAAUAAGAACCGGCUAACUACGUG